rnacentral:rRNA from 1 species
AUACGUAGGUGGCAAGCGUUAUCCGGAUUUAUUGGGCGUAAAGCGAGCGCAGGCGGUUUUUAAGUCUGAUGCGAAAGCCCUUGGCUCAACCAAGGAAGUGCAUCGGAAACUGGAGAACUUGAGUGCAGAAGAGGACAGUGGAACUCCAUGUGUAGCGGUGAAAUGCGUAGAUAUAUGGAAGAACACCAGUGGCGAAGGCGGCUGUCUGGUCUGUAACUGACGCUGAGGCUCGAAAGCAUGGGUAGGC